ACCCGCUGAACUUAAGCAUAUCAAUAAGCGGAGGAAAAGAAACCAACAGGGAUUGCCCCAGUAACGGCGAGUGAAGCGGCAACAGCUCAAAUUUGAAAUCUGGCCCCAGGCCCGAGUUGUAAUUUGCAGAGGAUGCUUUUGGCGACGCGCCUUCCGAGUUCCCUGGAACGGGACGCCAUAGAGGGUGAGAGCCCCGUCUGGUUGGACGCGGAGCCUCUGUAAAGCUCCUUCGACGAGUCGAGUAGUUUGGGAAUGCUGCUCUAAAUGGGAGGUAUAUGUCUUCUAAAGCUAAAUAUUGGCCAGAGACCGAUAGCGCACAAGUAGAGUGAUCGAAAGAUGAAAAGCACUUUGAAAAGAGGGUUAAAUAGUACGUGAAAUUGUUGAAAGGGAAGCGCUUAUGACCAGACGUGGGCCCGGCGGAUCAUCCAGCGUUCUCGCUGGUGCACUUCGCCGGGUUCAGGCCAGCAUCGGUUCGCCGCGGGGGAGAAAGGCGUCGGGAACGUGGCUCCCUCGGGAGUGUUAUAGCCCGUCGCACAAUACCCUGGGGCGGACCGAGGUUCGCGCAUCUGCAAGGAUGCUGGCGUAAUGGUCAUCAGCGACCCGUCUUGAAACACGGACC
rnacentral:rRNA from 1 species